rnacentral:Y_RNA from 1 species
GGCUGGCCCAAGUGCAGUGGUAUUUAUCAGUUACAGAUUUCUUUAUUCCUUCUCUACUCCUACUGUUUCACCUGACUAGCCAAAA